GAUGAACGCUGGCGGCGUGCCUAAUACAUGCAAGUCGAGCGAAUGGAUUAAGAGCUUGCUCUUAUGAAGUUAGCGGCGGACGGGUGAGUAACACGUGGGUAACCUGCCCAUAAGACUAGGAUAACUCCGGGAAACCGGGGCUAAUACCGGAUAACAUUUUGAACCGCAUGGUUCGAAAUUGAAAGGCGGCUUCGGCUGCCACUUAUGGAUGAACCCGCGUCGCAUUAGCUAGUUGGUGAGGUAACGGCUCACCAAGGCAACGAUGCGUAGCCGACCUGAGAGGGUGAUCGGCCACACUGGGACUGAGACACGGCCCAGACUCCUACGGGAGGCAGCAGUAGGGAAUCUUCCGCAAUGGACGAAAGUCUGACGGAGCAACGCCGCGUGAGUGAUGAAGGCUUUCGGGUCGUAAAACUCUGUUGUUAGGGAAGAACAAGUGCUAGUUGAAUAAGCUGGCACCUUGACGGUACCUAACCAGAAAGCCACGGCUAACUACGUGCCAGCCGCCGCGGUAA
rnacentral:rRNA from 1 species